GACGAACGCUGGCGGCGUGCUUAACACAUGCAAGUCGAACGGAAAGGCCCUGCUUUUGUGGGGUGCUCGAGUGGCGAACGGGUGAGUAACACGUGAGUAACCUGCCCUUGACUUUGGGAUAACUUCAGGAAACUGGGGCUAAUACCGGAUAUGAGCUCCUGCUGCAUGUUGGGGGUUGGAAAGUUUCGGCGGUUGGGGAUGGACUCGCGGCUUAUCAGCUUGUUGGUGGGGUAGUGGCUUACCAAGGCUUUGACGGGUAGCCGGCCUGAGAGGGUGACCGGCGACAUUGGGACUGAGAGACGGCCCAGACUCCUACGGGAGGCAGCAGUGGGGAAUAUUGCACAAUGGGCGGAAGCCUGAUACAGCAACGCCGCGUGCGGGAUGACGGCCUUCGGGUUGUAAACCGCUUUCGCCUGUGACGAAGAGUGAGUGACGGUAAUGGGUAAAGAAGCACCGGCUAACUACGUG
rnacentral:rRNA from 1 species